rnacentral:lncRNA from 1 species
GGAGAAGGCUCCUAUCCUAAGAAUUAUGGAGGGGUAGCUGGAACCGGAAGAAAGUGGACGUAAGUAAUUCCGAAUAUUGUAAAAAAAAUGCUUGCAAGUUUGAUGUAUGUUAAACAGGGGAUUAAGAUUCUCUAGAAACCCACGUCCUGACCUUUUAAUUGAAAAUCAUAGAAUUAUGCACUGGAUAAAAGCUCAAGGGGCUUCUCAUCCUUUUCUUUUGCUCAGCUCUAGAGCAUCAUAAACCUGGACUCCCUUUUCGUUGUCGUAAUGUCCAAUUGAUAUAAGCAUGCUGGUUACACUACUGGUACUCUGAAAUCAGAUGGUAUUUUGAUCGGAACAAAGGAAAAAUCUGGUGAAUGAAAGAAUUAGACUGUCUUUCAAACUUUUAUUUAGGAAACAGUUCUCUUGUUAAGCUGCAUCUACUUAAAUCUCAUUGAAGAACAGCAUGGAUAAAUUUUUGGUCGUUUUGAUCGGAACAAAAUCGAACUUCUGAAUCGUUCAGUAUUUAACUGGGUUCUUUCCUAAAGCGUUGCACUAGUAGUAGCUUGAACAUACCGCCCCACCCAGAUUUCCUUGAUAAUCAAUUUCAAAUCUCUGGGCACUCAUUUUCUAAGUAUAUUCCUGCUGUGGCUUUGGAGGUUGUAAUAUGCAGGUAUUCAUCACUGGUUUCUGUCUUGGCUCUCUUUCCAUACAGCGCACGACAGAAUUUCUAUAUCAGGUAUCCAAGUGGGUUCAAAAUCUGUUCUUGAAUCAAAGGUCAGCAUCGUCCUCCGUCAUAUUAAUCUUUUGUUUUCGUUGGGCCUUAGUUUUUCCUUAUGAUAAAUUUGUCAAAACCUCCUUUCAGAUGAAGAUGCUCUUGUACCAUUCGGAUUUGGAACGAAUCACAUAUCUGAUGAUCUUUAGCAGGUGGUUCUGCGCCUCUUCCUCAUCAAAACUAUGAAUCAUAAGCUCGUCUCUAAUACACGAUAUACACAGUUAAUCUGGCUCGUGGUGGAAGCUGCCGGAGUCCUGUCAAUUGCAGACUCUACUAGCUAAAUUCAGCAAGGUAAAAUACCUGCUAAUGUUCCUUCCCCGCUAAAUUCUCUCUUUAUCUCAAUCAUAUCAUUCCCAUCCACCAUACUGAUCACUUCCAGGGAGCUGAGGAACUUAGCUGGUUAUGUGAAAUCUUCGGGCUAAAUCAGGCAAGCGGUGACGAAUGACUGAAGGCUUGACAAUUUCGGAAAUUUGGGUCGCACUCACAGGCUUGUUGCUGUGUGGCCGGUAUCAGCGUCUGAGAGCUCCAGGGAGGUGAGGUUGCCUGUUUGAUGAGUCCUGAAAACUGAGGUGCCUCCUUUUCAUCACCUUGGUUUUUUAUUGACCAUCCUUUAUUUAAUGUCUCAGGAUUUACUUGUUCUUUCUCCCGCGAGGAUAUGCCCAUAUAUAGUAAAAUGGUGGCAACAAAUGCUCGGGGGAUCUUCUAGCCCUUUGAAAGAGCUGCCGGCAUCACCGGCUGGAAGCUGUCUUUCCCAAGACUUAUGCUUGCCCUGUGUGUGAAAAAUCUCUUGUUGGGAAUCUUGAAGAUGGAUCUACGAGAGGGCAUGCCUGCAAUCUCUCCUGUAUAUUUAGAAAUGCCAUUGAAGUUGAGAGGCUUAGGAGGAAGAAACAGAUGCAUCCUGAUCAUUGAGAUAUAUAUAUAUAUAUAUACAUACAUUUCCGAGUUUAGAUUAACUUGGGUGGAAUCCUGAGGUCGGUUCAUGCGUUUUUCCACUUUUAUAGCAUGGAAAGCGGCACGGAGCUUCAUGUGUUUUGGAUCUAUUGGUCCAAUCUCUCUGGAAGAGACUGAGAGGGCAGGCGGGAGUGAGCACUGUCACCACCAUUCAAACCUGCCAGUAAUCAAGAUCAGAAUCCGUUGGCUCCAAAAAUGAAUGUUCUGAUUCUAUAGUUUGUCGCUUAUUAAUUAAAUGGGUGAUAGAAGAUCUCAAAAUGAAGAGGACAUAAGUAAACAGAAUAUUAACCACACCUACGAAGAUGUGUUUCUAUAGCUAAUAAGCCACCUACACGAAGGCUUGCGAAAGGCCGUAUUUGAACAUAUAACUGAUGUUCACAAGUUUAACAAGGUACUAUCGUGUGUGUGUGUGUGUGUGUG